rnacentral:piRNA from 1 species
UGAUGCCUGUGGCAGGAAACCACCC